GACGAACGCUGGCGGCGUGCCUAAUACAUGCAAGUCGAGCGAGCUGAGCCAACAGAUUUACUUCGGUAAUGACGUUGGGAACGCGAGCGGCGGAUGGGUGAGUAACACGUGGGGAACCUGCCCCUCAGUCUGGGAUACCACUUGGAAACAGGUGCUAAUACCGGAUAAUAAAGCAGAUCGCAUGAUCAGCUUUUGAAAGGCGGCGUAAGCUGUCGCUAAGGGAUGGCCCCGCGGUGCAUUAGCUAGUUGGUAGGGUAACGGCCUACCAAGGCAAUGAUGCAUAGCCGAGUUGAGAGACUGAUCGGCCACAUUGGGACUGAGACACGGCCCAAACUCCUACGGGAGGCAGCAGUAGGGAAUCUUCCACAAUGGACGAAAGUCUGAUGGAGCAACGCCGCGUGAGUGAAGAAGGUUUUCGGAUCGUAAAGCUCUGUUGUUGGUGAAGAAGGAUAGAGGUAGU
rnacentral:rRNA from 1 species